rnacentral:rRNA from 1 species
UACAGAGGGUGCAAGCGUUAUUCGGAUUCACUGGGCGUAAAGGGUGCGCAGGCGGUUGGGUGUGUCAGAUGUGAAAUCCCGAGGCUUAACCUCGGAACUGCGUCUGAAACUACUCGACUAGAGUACUGGAGAGGGUAACGGAAUUCACGGUGUAGCAGUGAAAUGCGUAGAUAUCGUGAGGAACACCAGAGGCGAAGGCGGUUACCUGGACAGUUACUGACGCUCAGGCACGAAAGCAUGGGGAGCAAAAGGG